UGAGCCAAAAUAAAUCUUUGCUC
rnacentral:piRNA from 2 species